UGCAGUCGACGGUGAAAGCCCUUCGGGGUGGAUCAGUGGCGAACGGGUGAGUAACACGUGAGCAACCUGCCCCUGGCUCUGGGACAACCACUGGAAACGGUGGCUAAUACCGGAUACGACUCACCUCGGCAUCGAGUGUGGGUGGAAAGUUUUUCGGCUGGGGAUGGGCUCGCGGCCUAUCAGCUUGUUGGUGGGGUAAUGGCCUACCAAGGCGACGACGGGUAGCCGGCCUGAGAGGGCGACCGGCCACACUGGGACUGAGACACGGCCCAGACUCCUACGGGAGGCAGCAGUGGGGAAUAUUGCACAAUGGGCGAAAGCCUGAUGCAGCGACGCCGCGUGAGGGAUGACGGCCUUCGGGUUGUAAACCUCUUUCAGCUCCGAAGAAGCGAAAGUGACGGUAGGAGCAGAAGAAGCACCGGCUAACUACGUGCCAGCAGCCGCGGUAAUACGUAGGGUGCAAGCGUUGUCCGGAAUUAUUGGGCGUAAAGAGCUCGUAGGCGGUGUGUCGCGUCUGCUGUGAAAACUCAGGGCUCAACUCUGAGCUUGCAGUGGGUACGGGCACACUAGAGUGCUGUAGGGGAGACUGGAAUUCCUGGUGUAGCGGUGAAAUGCGCAGAUAUCAGGAGGAACACCGGUGGCGAAGGCGGGUCUCUGGGCAGUUACUGACGCUGAGGAGCGAAAGCAUGGGGAGCGAACAGGAUUAGAUACCCUGGUAGUCCAUGCCGUAAACGUUGGGCGCUAGGUGUGGGGUCCAUUCCACGGAUUCCGUGCCGCAGCUAACGCAUUAAGCGCCCCGCCUGGGGAGUACGGC
rnacentral:rRNA from 1 species